rnacentral:tRNA from 1 species
GUCGUCGUAGUAUAGUGGUGAGUAUUCCCGCCUGUCACGCGGGUGACCAGGGUUCCGAUCCC